UACGGAGGAUGCAAGCGUUAUCCGGAAUGAUUGGGCGUAAAGGGUCCGCAGGUGGCAAUGUGUGUCUGCUGUCAAAGAAUGAGGCUUAACCUCAUCAAGGCAGUGGAAACUACAUAGCUAGAGUACGGUCGGGGUAGAAGGAAUUCCCGGUGUAGCGGUGAAAUGCGCAGAUAUCGGGAGGAACACCUAUGGCGAAGGCAGCUCGCUGGGACGUUACUGACGCUGAGACGCGAAAGCGUGGGGAGCAAACAGG
rnacentral:rRNA from 1 species